CUUGUGUCCACCCCCUUGCCUUCCAUGCCUGACAGGUAUCUCUUCUGAAGAAUGGAGACCAGGAACAGGCAUAGCCUGAGGUACAACCUCAGUCCCCAGGGACCCCAGCCUGCUUCAGUCGGGAUCCCUGGGGACAUCCUGGCAAGCCUAUCUCAGUCAUGCCCCUGGUGUGUCAGCCUCCCAUCUGAACACUUGCUUUUCCUAUGUUAUAAACUGCAUCAUUCACAGCCCCUAGAAAGCCUCUGUAUAAGAGUUGGUAUGUCUCCCAUGAGUCCAUGGCAUAGGAGAGGAGACGACCAGGACAGCCUUGGGCGACUCUUGGAGAAGGUUUCAAGAGGAGGUGGGAAAGCUGGGUGUCUAACUCACAACUCUGAGUCCAGGAGGCAGAACCAUUCUGUCCCUAUUCCCUCCGUUUCUGGUUAAGGCAGGGGAUCUCAGAGCCUAAACAUCCUCCACUGGCCGUAAGUGUGAUGGGGCAUUACCCCAGCGGGCCACAUGUUGCAAACGAGGAGAAAUUGGCUAGCAGGCCUCCAGGCC
rnacentral:lncRNA from 1 species